rnacentral:rRNA from 1 species
GUUAGCGGCCAUAGGGAUGGAGAAACACCUGGACCCUUUCCGAACCCAGAAGUUAAGUCUAUUGCCGUUUUAGUUCGCUGUUAGUUCAUGCUAGUAGCGUCUUUAAAGCUGCUAACA